rnacentral:rRNA from 1 species
UUGACGACGCUGGCGGCGUGCCUAACACAUGCAAGUCRAACGGUAACAGCGGACUUCGGUCCGCUGACGAGUGGCGCACGGGUGAGUAACGCGUGGAGUUACCUGCCCAUCAGUGGGGAACAACUCCGGGAAACSGGAGCUAAUACCGCAUACGACCUUCGGGUGAAAGAGGGGGAUCUUCGGACCUCUCGCUGAUGGAUGGUUCCGCGUCCGAUUAGUUAGUUGGUAAGGUAAUGGCUUACCAAGACGAUGAUCGGUAGCUGGUCUGAGAGGAUGAUCAGCCACACUGGAACUGAGACACGGUCCAGACUCCUACGGGAGGCAGCAGUGGGGAAUUUUGCACAAUGGGCGAAAGCCUGAUGCAGCGACGCCGCGUGCGGGAAGAAGGCCUUCGGGUUGUAAACCGCUUUCAACAGGGAAGAAGGAAUGAGGGCCAAUACCCCUCUGCCUUGACGGUACCUGUAGAAGAAGCCCCGGCUAAUUUCGUGCCAGCAGCCGCGGUAAUACGAAAGGGGCAAGCGUUGUUCGGAUUUACUGGGCGUAAAGAGAUCGUAGGUGGCUUGUUAAGUCGGAUGUGAAAUCCCGGGGCUCAACCCCGGAACUGCAUUCGAUACUGGCAGGCUUGAGUUCGGGAGGGGGAAGCGGAAUUCCGUGUGUAGCAGUGAAAUGCGUAGAUAUACGGAGGAACACCUGAGGCGAAGGCGGCUUCCUGGACCGAUACUGACACUGAGGAUCGAAAGCGUGGGUAGCAAACAGGAUUAGAUACCCUGGUAGUCCACGCCCUAAACGAUGUCUACUAGCCGUUGCGGGUAUCGACCCCUGCAGUGGCGCAGCUAACGCGAUAAGUAGACCGCCUGGGGAGUACGGCCGCAUUCUA